rnacentral:rRNA from 1 species
CGUUAGUUGCUAACGCGUGAAGGCGAGCACUCUAGACGAACUGCCGUUGACAAAACGGAGGAAGGUGGGGAUGACGUCAAAUCAUCAUGCCCCUUAUGUUCUGGGCUACACACGUGCUACAAUGGCCGGUACAGACGGACGCAAAGCCGCGAGGUGGAGCAAAUCCGAAAAAGCCGGUCUCAGUUCGGAUUGCAGGCUGCAAUUCGCCUGCAUGAAGUCGGAAUCGCUAGUAAUCGCAGGUCAGCAUACUGCGGUGAAUACGUUCCCGGGCCUU